rnacentral:rRNA from 1 species
AUUGAACGCUGGCGGCAGGCUUAACACAUGCAAGUCGAGCGGUAGCACAGUGGCGCUUGCUCCCUGGGUGACGAGCGGCGGACGGGUGAGUAAUGUCUGGGAAACUGCCUGAUGGAGGGGGAUAACUACUGGAAACGGUAGCUAAUACCGCAUAACGUCGCAAGACCAAAGAGGGGUACCUUCUGGCCUCUUGCCAUCAGAUUUGCCCAGAUGGGAUCCUCUAGUAGUUGGGGUAAUUGCUCCCCUCGGCGACGAUCCCUAGCUGGUCUGAGAGGAUGACCAGGCACACUGGAACUGAGACACGGUCCAGACUCCUACGGGAGGCAGCAGUGGGGAAUAUUGCACAAUGGGCGCAAGCAUAAUGCAGCCAUGCCGCGUGUGUGAAGAAGGCCUUCGGGUUGUAAAGAACUUUCAGCGAGGAGGAAGGUGGUGAGCUUAAUACGUUCAUCAAUUGACGUUACUCGCAGAAGAAGCACCGGCUAACUCCGUG